AAAUCUCAAAGUCCUCGUUUGAGCAACCCUUUAAAAUGUGGAUUGUGAAUUGAUCAAAUGUCAUAAACCUUCUCCGCAAUAAGCUCUUCAAUUUAAAAAAAAAUCAAAACGAUCGGUUCAGUAGUUUCCGAAAACAUAUCACUCAAAGGCAUAAAGAUAACGGCAAAAGUGAGCAACACAGUGGUUUCAGAAAUUAUCUUAGAUAUAUUAAUAGUAAACAUGUAUUAGGUUUCAAACUGAUGAACUUAAGGUUAAUAACUGAAUACAAUGAGCUCGCAAGAAUUUCGCCAAAAAAUCGAUGAAUUGUUAAUGGAAAACGAAUUUUCGCCGGCAAUAGGCAGAUAACGUCAACUGGCUUCUCUCACAUAGUCGAUCGAGGGACCAAAGAUAAAUCCACAGAUAUGUAAUACAACUAGAUAGCCAACUUGGCUGUAUUGUUGAAGCUCGAUAAAAUGGCCGACUUUUCUUAUCAAAGAGAUGCUGUAUUUUGAAAUGUACAAAUAAAAGAGUAAGUGGAAGUGGUAUUCACUUUUUUUGUAUUAUAUAUCUGUGGACAAAUCUAAUGAACGAAAUCACGUUCCUCAAUUUCUGCACUAAAGUUAGUCGCCUGAUAUAUUGACCUUUGUCAUAUCUCUCACAUACAUGCUAACACUAUUGGAACGUCUUGGACUAUGGUCCAUAUGAUAUGUAUAUCCCGGUGCUUUAGAACUUUUAAAGGUUUCAUUGAAGAGAAAUUCGUAUGGAAAUGAUCAAUCUUUUUGAUUUAAGAAGCCAGAAUACUAAUAAGCAAAUAAAAUUUAAUAUAAGAUAGGUAACAUAUUACCAUUAAAGUUGUCUUCAUUUGAUGUGGGAUCUAAUUCGUCUUCUCUUGGAACAACU